CCUACGGGGGGCAGCAGUGGGGAAUAUUGGACAAUGGGGGGAACCCUGAUCCAGCCAUGCCGCGUGUGUGAAGAAGGCCCUCGGGUUGUAAAGCACUUUCAGUGAGGAAGAACGCCUGGUGGUUAAUACCCAUCAGGAAAGACAUCACUCACAGAAGAAGCACCGGCUAACUCCGUGCCAGCAGCCGCGGUAAUACGGAGGGUGCGAGCGUUAAUCGGAAUUACUGGGCGUAAAGCGCGCGUAGGUGGCUUGAUAAGCCGGUUGUGAAAGCCCCGGGCUAAACCUGGGAACGGCAUCCGGAACUGUCAAGCUAGAGUGCAGGAGAGGAAGGUAGAAUUCCCGGUGUAGCGGUGAAAUGCGUAGAGAUCGGGAGGAAUACCAGUGGCGAAGGCGGCCUUCUGGACUGACACUGACACUGAGGUGCGAAAGCGUGGGUAGCAAACAGGAUUAGAUACCCUUGUAGUC
rnacentral:rRNA from 1 species